rnacentral:rRNA from 1 species
UACAGAGGGUGCGAGCGUUAAUCGGAAUUACUGGGCGUAAAGCGCACGUAGGUGGCGACGUAAGUCGGGUGUGAAAGCCCCGGGCUCAACCCGGGAAUUGCAUUCGAGACUGCAUUGCUGGAGUACGGAAGAGGAAGGCGGAAUUCCCGGUGUAGCGGUGAAAUGCGUAGAUAUCUGGAGGAACACCGGUGGCGAAGGCGGCAUCCUGGACCGGCAUUGACGCUGAGGCGCGAAAGCCAGGGGAGCAAACGGG